rnacentral:rRNA from 1 species
AUUGAACGCUGGCGGCAGGCCUAACACAUGCAAGUCGAACGGCUGCAGGGAGCUUGCUCCUGGAUUCAGCGGCGACGGGGGGGUUAUGCCUAGGAAUCUGCCUGAGAGUGGGGGAUAAGGUCCGGAAACGGGCGCUAAUAACGCAUACGUCCUGGGGGGGAAAGGGGGGGAUCUUCGGACCUCACGCUAUCAGAUGCGCCUAGGUCGGAUUAGCUAGUUGGUGGGGUAAAGGCCUACCAAGGCGACGAUCCGUAACUGGUCUGAGAGGAUGAACAGCCACACUGGAACUGAGACACGGUCCAGACUCCUACGGGAGGCAGCAGUGGGGAAUUUUGGACAAUGGGCGAAAGCCUGAUCCAGCCAUGCCGCGUGUGUGAAGAAGGUCUUCGGAUUGUAAAGCACUUUUAGUUGGGAGGAAGGGCAGUAAGUUAAUACCUUGCUGUGAUGACGUUACCAACAGAAUAAGCACCGGCUAACUUCGUG